GAGUUUGAUCCUGGCUCAGGAUGAACGCUGGCGGCGUGCUUAACACAUGCAAGUCGAACGAAGCGCCUUAUUUGAUUUUCUUCGGAACUGAAGAUUUGGUGACUGAGUGGCGGACGGGUGAGUAACGCGUGGGUAACCUGCCCUGUACAGGGGGAUAACAAUCAGAAAUGACUGCUAAUACCGCAUAAGACCACAGCACCGCAUGGUGCAGGGGUAAAAACUCCGGUGGUACAGGAUGGACCCGCGUCUGAUUAGCUGGUUGGUGAGGUAACGGCUCACCAAGGCGACGAUCAGUAGCCGGCUUGAGAGAGUGAACGGCCACAUUGGGACUGAGACACGGCCCAAACUCCUACGGGAGGCAGCAGUGGGGAAUAUUGCACAAUGGGGGAAACCCUGAUGCGGCAACGCCGCGUGAGUGAAGAAGUAUUUCGGUAUGUAAAGCUCUAUCAGCAGGGAAGAAAGUGACGGUACCUGACUAAGAAGCCCCGGCUAACUACGUGCCAGCCGCCGCCGUAAC
rnacentral:rRNA from 1 species